rnacentral:rRNA from 1 species
UACGAAGGGGGCUAGCGUUGCUCGGAAUCACUGGGCGUAAAGCGCACGUAGGUGGGUCGCUGAGUCGGGGGUGAAAUCCUGGAGCUCAACUCCGGAAUUGCCUUUAAGACUGCAUCGCUUGAAUCCAGGAGAGGUGAGUGGAAUUCCGAGUGUAGAGGUGAAAUUCGUAGAUAUUCGGAAGAACACCAGUGGCGAAGGCGGCUCACUGGACUGGUAUUGACGCUGAGGUGCGAAAGCGUGGGGAGCAAACAGG